rnacentral:rRNA from 1 species
UACGGAGGGGGCUAGCGUUGUUCGGAAUUACUGGGCGUAAAGCGCGCGUAGGCGGACCUGCAAGUCGGGGGUGAAAGCCCGAGGCUCAACCUCGGAACUGCCUUCGAUACUGCGGGUCUCGAGUCCGGGAGAGGUGAGUGGAAUUCCAGGUGUAGCGGUGAAAUGCGUAGAUAUCUGGAGGAACACCGGUGGCGAAGGCGGCAUCCUGGACCGGCAUUGACGCUGAGGCGCGAAAGCUAGGGGAGCAAACGGG